AUUGGAUUAACGAGAUCCCUACUGUCCCUAUCUACUAUCUAGCGAAACCACAGCCAAGGGAACGGGCUUGGAAUAAUUAGCGGGGAAAGAAGACCCUGUUGAGCUUGACUCUAGUCUGGCAGUGUAAGGAGACAUAAGAGGUGUAGCAUAAGUGGGAGAUAUAUUGGUUUCGGCUAAAUAUAUCAAAAAUGAAAUACCACUACUCUUAUUGUUUCCUUACUUACUUGAUAAAAUGGAACGUGUAUCAUUCACUUAGCCAUUACAUGAAUAUAUUUAUAUAUUUUAUGGUAUUUUGUUUUGAUGCGAGCUUCUUGUUUAAAGUACCAAGAGUUUGUUAUAUACACCAAACAAAUAUCAAUUAAAUUUACUUAUUAUUAAUAAUGAUUUGUUAAAUUAUAAUUGAAUUUGGUAUAACUAUUAUACUUAGGUAUGAUCCAAUUCAAGGACAUUGCCAGGUGGGGAGUUUGACUGGGGCGGUACAUCUCUCAAAUAAUAACGGAGGUGUCCCAAGGCCAGCUCAGUGCGGACAGAAACCACACAUAGAGCAAAAGGGCAAAUGCUGACUUGAUCUCGGUGUUCAGUACAUACAGAGACAGCAAAAGCUCGGCCUAUCGAUCCUUUUGGUUUAAAGAGUUUUUAACAAGA
rnacentral:rRNA from 1 species